rnacentral:rRNA from 1 species
UACGUAGGGUGCGAGCGUUAAUCGGAAUUACUGGGCGUAAAGCGUGCGCAGGCGGUUCGUUAAGUCAGAUGUGAAAGCCCCGGGCUCAACCUGGGAACGGCAUUUGAAACUGGCGGGCUGGAGUGUGGCAGAGGGGGGUGGAAUUCCGCGUGUAGCAGUGAAAUGCGUAGAGAUGCGGAGGAACACCGAUGGCGAAGGCGGCAUCCUGGACCAAUAUUGACGCUGAGGAGCGAAAGCCAGGGGAGCAAACGGG